GCCGCUACAGCAAGGGAGGGGUGACGGUGUGGGGGCGCGAGGAGGACAGCAGCACCGUGCAGAAGCUCAAGAUGAGGAUAGUCUGUAAGGACGUGACAGCAGAGACAUUGUACGACGUCCUCCAUGACACCAGCUACCGGAAGAAGUGGGACACCAACAUGAUCGAUACGUAUGACAUCGGCAGGCUGACGGUCAACGCAGA